GAUGAACGCUGGCGGCGUGCUUAACACAUGCAAGUCGAACGGAAAGGCCCAAGCUUGCUUGGGUACUCGAGUGGCGAACGGGUAAGUAACACGUGGGUGAUCUGCCCUGCACUUCGGGAUAAGCCUGGGAAACUGGGUCUAAUACCGGAUAGGACCACUUCUUGGAUGUUGUGGUGGAAAGUUUUUUCGGUGUGGGAUGAGCUCGCGGCCUAUCAGCUUGUUGGUGGGGUAAUGGCCUACCAAGGCGUCGACGGGUAGCCGGCCUGAGAGGGUGUACGGCCACAUUGGGACUGAGAUACGGCCCAGACUCCUACGGGAGGCAGCAGUGGGGAAUAUUGCACAAUGGGCGCAAGCCUGAUGCAGCGACGCCGCGUGGGGGAUGACGGCCUUCGGGUUGUAAACUCCUUUCGCUAGGGACGAAGCGUUUUGUGACGGUACCUGGAGAAGAAGCACCGGCUAACUACGUG
rnacentral:rRNA from 1 species